GACGGAGGAUGCAAGUGUUAUCCGGAAUCACUGGGCGUAAAGCGUCUGUAGGUGGUUUAAUAAGUCAACUGUUAAAUCUUGAGGCUCAACCUCAAAAUCGCAGUCGAAACUAUUAGGCUAGAGUAUAGUAGGGGUAAAGGGAAUUUCCAGUGGAGCGGUGAAAUGCGUAGAGAUCGGGAAAGAACACCCAGCGGCAGGAAGCACUCUGGCGUGGCCGACACGUGAUCGCUA
rnacentral:rRNA from 1 species